UCCCCGGUGGCUCAACGGCAGAGCGUCCGAUUGUUAAUCGGCAGGUUCCUGGUUCGAAUCCAGGUCGGGGAG
rnacentral:tRNA from 1 species